rnacentral:rRNA from 1 species
UACGUAGGGGGCAAGCGUUGUCCGGAAUCAUUGGGCGUAAAGAGCGUGUAGGCGGCCCGAUAAGUCCGCUGUGAAAGUCCAGGGCUCAACCCUGGAAUGCCGGUGGAUACUGUCGGGCUCGAAUCCGGAAGAGGUGAGUGGAAUUCCUGGUGUAGCGGUGAAAUGCGCAGAUAUCAGGAGGAACACCAACGGCGAAGGCAGCUCUCUGGGACGUUACUGACGCUGAGACGCGAAAGCGUGGGGAGCAAACAGG